UCAGGGUCUUCAUCUCGGCCCUGGAAUUAUGGAUCAUGUCAGGACACAGAGAGAACCUGCCCUCAAGGAGCCCACAGCCCAGCGAGAAAGACAAGACCACGAACUCUGAGGCGGUGAAGCAGUUGCUGUGGUGUCAGAAGGCCGUGACGAGGACGAUUGGCUCCGUGUAAACAGUCAGAAGGAAAGUGGUUCGGGAGCUUGGAAGUGCAGAUGAAGGUCGUGGGCAGUGCGUGGUGAAAAGUCCUGUUUGGAAACCCAAGAAGAUCUGAGGCUACUGAGUUCUUACCAGUCAACGGCGAAGACAGCUUUUACCUCCACUCCCAGAUUAUCUUUCCCCCAAGACGUGCCCCCCCCACCCCCCGCCCCGGGUGCCUGUCCAGAAGCAGAUAGCACCUCGGGCAAUCUCUUCUCCCUGCACACAGGGACUUUGCUCUCUAGUCUUAUCACUCAGACCUCCAUCAGCUGUCCCGUCAGCCCACCAUGCAAGCUCCACUCUCCCCUCAGCUGAAGACAGAACUUUCUCUUCCUUGGUUUUCAGAGUGGGGGGCAUCCUGUCACUUCUAAGAGCAGAAAGGCCUAGAACUUAAGGGCUACAUGGAAACGCCUCACGGUGGAGCUUCUGGACGUUGGUCAGAAACCGUGCUCCUACUUUCCCGUUGUGUUUUCCCUUUAAUGUCUUACGAAAUGAAAUCAGGAAGAGGAGACAUCAGGUCAGCAGCAGGAAAGACGGGCCAGUUGGGUGCCAGGCAGGACAUGGUUAGGCCAUGGCUCCGCCUUAAAACUGAAUAGUAAAAGGACGCCUGGGUGGCUCAGUCGG